ACAAUGUGUCUACUUCACAAGGUCGCCAUGGCGUAAUGGAUAUGGUUUCUGCCUAGUGACCGGUAGAUUACAGGUUCAAUCCCGAAUGGGGGAGCUUUCUUAAGAUCUUCCCCAAAGACAUCAAGUACUGGUUCUACCCAGAAAACAGACUUCAGAGUGUUUCAAUAGGUCAUAUGCUUUCGAUGCCAUCAAUCUAAAAUAAAAAGGUUUAAACUAUAUACUAAAAUUCACUUGCUUAUUGGUAAAAGUUCAAGAUAAGCAAAAAAUUGUCCAAGGUAAAACAAUUGCGUUUCCUACAUUGUAUCUGUAACUUUGUAAUACCUGAAAGGAUAAUAAUUAUACUUAGAAUUAUGUUCUCCCAUGUCAUACAAUGUUCCACGCACAACUCCCAUGCUCCUCAGUUAAAGGGCAAGGUCAAAAUUCAGUAACAAAUGUCAUGAAUUUUGGUGUGUGCGUGUGUGUGUUUUAAGCUCAACUGAGCACAACGUGCUCAUGAUGAGUUUUUGUGAUCGCUUUUUGUCCAUUUUUCCUAAUAUGGCUAUAUAUGGCUAUAGUGAACACUCUUGAGGCCAUAUUUAUUGUCUGAUCUUCAUAAAAUUGCGUCAGAAGAUUCAUCCCAAUAAUAUCUUGGAUGAGUUCGAAAAUGAUGCCGGUUGGUUGAAAAACAUGACUGCUAGGGGGCGGGGCAUUUUUCCUUAUAUGGCUAUAGUAAAACCUUGUUAACACUCUAAGAGUCCACAUUUAUUUUCCGAUCUUCAUGAAACUUGCUCAGAAGAUUGGUCCCAAUGAAAUCUUGGAUGAGUUCAAAAAUGGUAACCUUUGCUUGAAAAACAUGGCUUUCAAGGGGUGGGGCAUUUUGCGUUAUAUGGCUAUAUAUGGCUUUAGUAAAAUCUUGUUAACACUCUAGAGGCCACAUUUAUUGUCGUUUCUACAUGAAACUUGGUCAGAAGAUUCAUCCCAAUAAUAUCUUGGAAGAGUUCUAAAAUGAUGCCGGUUGGUUGAAAAACAUGGCCCCCAGGGGGCGGGGCAUUUUUUCUUAUAUGGCUAUAGUAAAACCUUGUUAACACUCUAGAGGCCACAUUUAUUUUCCGAUCUUCAUGAAACUUGGUCAGAAGAUUGGUCCCAAUGAUAUCUUUGAUGAGUUGGAAAAUAGUAACCUUUGCUUGAAAAACAUGGCUUUCAAGGGGUGGGGCAUUUUUCCUUAUAUGGCUAUAGUAAAAUCUUGUUAACACUCUAGAGUCCACAUUUACUGUCCGAUCUUCGUGAAACUUGGUCAGAAGAUUGAUCCUAAUAAUAUCUUGGAAGAGUUAAAAAAGGAUGCCCUUUGAAAAACAUGGCCGCCAGGGGGCGGGGCAUUUCUCCUUAUUUGGCUAGAGUAAAACAUUGUUAACACUCUAGAGGCCACAUUUAUUUUCCGAUCUUCAUGAAACUUUGUCAGAAGAUUUGUCCUAAUAAUAUCUUGUUAUCUCAGGUGAGCGACUUUGGGCCUUUAAGGCCCUCUUGUUUCAUUGUAUGAUUGAACUUUUUGUUGUGCUUUUGCUCUAUUUUACUAGAUCAUUUAGUUUUUUAAGCUGUGUUGCAGCUUUGUUGUUUUUUAUUAAUAAUUAUUAUUUCUUUGUCUUAAAGUAUUAUCUACACUGUAUCAUAUUUAGUGAUACUAUUUUUUAGAUAAUUAAACAAAUAUGUUUUACUUAAGUAAUGAACAUUUUAUUGUCCACAGCCGGUGAAACCGGAGGGGACCUAUGGUUCGCGCUCAGUGCGUCAUUCUGUCUGUCUGUCUGUCAGUCUGUCACACAUUUUUGGAUCCUGCCAUAACUUAAAAAGUUCUUCCUAUUUUUUCAUGAAACUUGAAACAUGGACAGAUGGCAAUAUGGAGAUUAUGGACGUCAAUUCAUUUUGUUCCUACAUCAAGAAUUCUGGUUGCUAUGGCAACAAUUUAUCGCCCAAUUGGUGCAAAAAGGUACCAUGUGCCUCUUAAUUUAAAUGUCACAUGGUACCUUUUUGCACCAAGGGGGCGAUAUAUAUAAAAAAAAAAUACUGACAAUGGUGGAGUUUCACCGGUAGAGGACCAUAUUGCUUGGCAAUCUCUUGUUUACAAAGUACAUUUUUCAUGACAUGUAUGUCAAAUGCAUAGUAUUUUUUGUUUUUAUUUCAUUAUUUACAUCUUGUACUACCUAUGGUUAUUUUUUAAUGGGUAUUGUUGUAUUUGUUAAGAUUUCUGGAAUGUUGAUAAUGAUCGUUGAUGUUUCUGAACUAAUUUGUUUGAAAAUCAUCAGUAUUUACUUUUGUUUCUAUUAUUACUCGUGCAAUACAAUAAAAUGAGACAAGGGA